rnacentral:rRNA from 1 species
UACGUAGGGACCAAGCGUUGUCCGGAAUCAUUGGGCGUAAAGCGCGUGUAGGCGGCCCUGAAAGUCUGGUGUGAAAACUUGAGGCUCAACCUCAAGCUGUCGCUGGAUACUGCAGGGCUUGAGUCCGGAAGAGGAGUGUGGAAUUCCUGGUGUAGCGGUGGAAUGCGCAGAUAUCAGGAGGAACACCGAUGGCGAAGGCAGGUCUCUGGGCUGUAACUGACGCUGAGGAGCGAAAGCAUGGGGAGCGAACAGG